UACGGAGGGUGCGAGCGUUGUCCGGAAUCAUUGGGCGUAAAGGGCGCGUAGGUGGCGCGUUAAGUCCGUUGUGAAAUCCCUGGGCUCAACCCAGGAAUUGCUUCGGAUACUGGCGUGCUUGAGGCUAGUAGGGGUCACUGGAACUGACGGUGGAGCGGUGAAAUGCGUAGAUAUCGUCAGGAACGCCAAUGGUGAAGACAGGUGACUGGGCUAGUUCUGACACUGAGGCACGAAAGCGUGGGGAGCGAACGGG
rnacentral:rRNA from 1 species